GCUGGGCACGGUGGUGCGUGCCUAUGGUCCCAACUACGUGGGAGGCUGAGGUGGGAGGAUUGCUUGAGCCCAGGAGUCUGAGGCUGCAGUGAGUCAUGAUGGCACCACUGCACUCCAGCCUGGGUAACAGCAAGACCCUGUCUCUU
ensembl:misc_RNA Metazoa_SRP Metazoan signal recognition particle RNA